rnacentral:lncRNA from 1 species
UCUGGAAUGUGGCAUGACCUUCUUUUCUACCCUGUUCUCCUAAAAUUGUCAUGGAUUUAUAGCAUGGUGCUGGGCUAGUGGGUAGGAAAGGGGCUGACAUCUAAGAGCCCUCUGUAUACUGGACACUGUGAGUGUUUUCAGGGAUGCCCCAGCUCAAGCUGCUGCUCCAAUAGCACAGUCCUACACUACAGGUUUUGAUCCAGGCCAAAAGGGGUAUGAUUGAUUCUGCAGUGCUCAGAUUCUGGAUGCAGUAUGAGGGGACAUCGUUCCUCUGCAGAUGUUACGGCUGCUGAAAUGAGGAAGAAGGAAAGGAAAGGAAGAAAAGAAGAAAGAAAGAAAAGUCAGGAACGUGUUGAGGUUGUAACGACAAGGAAAUAUUCAAGAGGAAGCCUUUCAGAACCUUCAUACACUUGGUGAGAAUGUAAAUUCGUACGACCACUAUGGAGAACACUUUGGAGCUUCUUCAAAAAACUAAAAAUAGAGCUACCAUAUGGGGCGAUCCAGCAAUUCCCCCACUGGGUAGAGACCUGAAAGAAAGGAAAUCAGUAGGACAAAGAGAUAGCUGCACUCCUGUGUUUGCUGCAGCACUGUUCACUAUAGCCAAGAUUUGGAAGCAACGUAAGUGUUUACCAAUAGAUGAAUGCAUAUAGAAAAUGUGGUACAAAUACACAAUGGAGUAUUAUUCAGCCAUAGAAAAGAAUGAGAUCCUGUCAUUUGCAACAACAUGGAUGGAGCUAGGGAUCAUUAAGCUAAGUGAAAUAAGCAAGGCAAAGAAAGACAAGCAUCACAUGUUCUCACUUAUUUGUGGGAUACAAAAAUCAAAACAAUUGAAUUCAUGAACAUAAAGAGUAGAAGGAUGGUUACCAGAGGCUUGGAAGAGUAGUAGGGGGUGAGGGUGAGGUGGGGAUGGUUAAUGUUAAUGGGUACAGAAAAAAAAUAGAAUGAAUAAGACUUACUAUGUGAUAGCACGACAGGUUGACUAUAGUAAUAACUUAAUUGCACAUUUUAAAAUAACUAAAAGAAUAUAAUUGGAUUUUUUGCAACACAAAGGACAAAUGCUUGAGGGGGUGUAAUUCUCAUUCUCCAUAUGUAAUUAUUACACAUUGCAUGCCUGCAUCAAAGCAUUUCACUUACCCAGUAAAUAUAUACAUCUACU